rnacentral:rRNA from 1 species
AGAGAGCUUGCUCUCGGGUGACGAGCGGCGGACGGGUGAGUAAUGUCUGGGAAACUGCCUGAUGGAGGGGGAUAACUACUGGAAACGGUAGCUAAUACCGCAUAAUGUCGCAAGACCAAAGUGGGGGACCUUCGGGCCUCAUGCCAUCAGAUGUGCCCAGAUGGGAUUAGCUAGUAGGUGGGGUAACGGCUCACCUAGGCGACGAUCCCUAGCUGGUCUGAGAGGAUGACCAGCCACACUGGAACUGAGACACGGUCCAGACUCCUACGGGAGGCAGCAGUGGGGAAUAUUGCACAAUGGGCGCAAGCCUGAUGCAGCCAUGCCGCGUGUGUGAAGAAGGCCUUCGGGUUGUAAAGCACUUUCAGCGGGGAGGAAGGCGUUAAGGUUAAUAACCUUGUCGAUUGACGUUACCCGCAGAAGAAGCACCGGCUAACUCCGUGCCAGCAGCCGCGGUAAUACGGAGGGUGCAAGCGUUAAUCGGAAUUACUGGGCGUAAAGCGCACGCAGGCGGUCUGUCAAGUCGGAUGUGAAAUCCCCGGGCUCAACCUGGGAACUGCAUUCGAAACUGGCAGGCUAGAGUCUUGUAGAGGGGGGUAGAAUUCCAGGUGUAGCGGUGAAAUGCGUAGAGAUCUGGAGGAAUACCGGUGGCGAAGGCGGCCCCCUGGACAAAGACUGACGCUCAGGUGCGAAAGCGUGGGGAGCAAACAGGAUUAGAUACCCUGGUAGUCCACGCCGUAAACGAUGUCGAUUUGGAGGUUGUGCCCUUGAGGCGUGGCUUCCGGAGCUAACGCGUUAAAUCGACCGCCUGGGGAGUACGGCCGCAAGGUUAAAACUCAAAUGAAUUGACGGGGGCCCGCACAAGCGGUGGAGCAUGUGGUUUAAUUCGAUGCAACGCGAAGAACCUUACCUGGUCUUGACAUCCACAGAACUUAGCAGAGAUGGUUUGGUGCCUUCGGGAACUGUGAGACAGGUGCUGCAUGGCUGUCGUCAGCUCGUGUUGUGAAAUGUUGGGUUAAGUCCCGCAACGAGCGCAACCCUUAUCCUUUGUUGCCAGCGGUCCGGCCGGGAACUCAAAGGAGACUGCCAGUGAUAAACUGGAGGAAGGUGGGGAUGACGUCAAGUCAUCAUGGCCCUUACGACCAGGGCUACACACGUGCUACAAUGGCAUAUACAAAGAGAAGCGACCUCGCGAGAGCAAGCGGACCUCAUAAAGUAUGUCGUAGUCCGGAUUGGAGUCUGCAACUCGACUCCAUGAAGUCGGAAUCGCUAGUAAUCGUAGAUCAGAAUGCUACGGUGAAUACGUUCCCGGGCCUUGUACACACCGCCCGUCACACCAUGGGAGUGGGUUGCAAAAGAAGUAGGUAGCU